rnacentral:rRNA from 1 species
UACAGACCAAGUUAAUAAGAGCUAUUGGUGGAUGCCUUGGCAUUGACAGGCGAAGAAGGACGCGAAUACCUGCGAAAAGCUCCGGCGAGCUGGUGAUAAGCAAAGACCCGGAGGUAUCCGAAUGGGGAAACCCGGUAGAGUAAUAGACUACCAUUGCAUGCUGAAUACAUAGGUAUGCAAAGCGACACCUGCCGAACUGAAACAUCUUAGUAAGCAGAGGAAAAGAAAUCGAAGAGAUUCCCUGUGUAGCGGCGAGCGAAAGGGGAAUAGCCUAAACCGAGCUGAUAAGUCUCGGGGUUGUAGGAUUGGGGAUAAAGGAUCAGAACUCCUAGUUGAACACAUCUGGAAAGAUGGAUGAUACAGGGUGAUAGUCCCGUAGACGAAAGGAGAGAAAGACCGACCUCAACACCUGAGUAGGACUAGACACGUGAAACCUAGUCUGAAUCUGGGGAGACCACUCUCCAAGGCUAAAUACUAGUCAAUGACCGAUAGUGAACCAGUACUGUGAAGGAAAGGCGAAAAGAACCCUUGUUAAGGGAGUGAAAUAGAACCUGAAACCAGUAGCUUACAAGCGGUCGGAGACCAAUGGCCCGUAAGGGUCAAGGUUGACGGCGUGCCUUUU